rnacentral:lncRNA from 1 species
GAUGCCUCCCGGCCGCCGUAGGCGAAGGUUCGCGGAAGAGGGGAGCAGGCGCUCACCUGAGGUUCGCCCAAUCCUGGAGCAGUGGGUCCCGGGAGGGAAGAGGGAAGUGGGUCAGGCUCCCGGCCUGUGUUUGUCCAUUCAUUCAUUCAUUGAGGCACGAAUUAAUGUGAUAACCACUUAUUCGUUCAAAAACUGCUGAUUCACCACCCACCAGGUGCCAGGGAGACGGACAAAAUGCACCAAACAAAAUGCACGAAACAGUACCGGAAGCAGUAAUGUCCACGUGUGAUACUUGCCCUGGAGCAAGUAAGGAGGGGACAGGACCAUCUGACUUCGGGGUUGGGCUGCUCUAGGGGUUUGGUGAUAGUCUUAGCUGCCUGUGACCGUCCAUUAGUACUGCCCUGUUCAGGGCAGAUACUGUUCGCUCGCCUCCCAGUAGUUUUUAUAUUGAAGAAAAAUAUAUCAGAGCAUCAAAUAGUACAACCUUAUGUACUUAAAAAAAUUACUUUCUAUCUGUCUACUCUAAGAUCAGUAGAGUAAGCACAGUUGCACAUUUUAUGUUCUCACCUAGUUAUAGCACCCUCUUCCUGUUCUCAACUCCAUUGAAGAGUUGCUACUUGUCAGUAUUUCUGUUAGUUGUCAGUAUCCAUUAGGAUCUGUAUUUUUGCCAUUUUAAAAAUCAACAGUUCUGAGUUACUAAAAAAUUGCAAAUGGUAGUUCCGGAGGUUCUAUACGUUGCCAUAGAAGAGCAUUCCAUUGGGUGUUUAAGGAACUGUUGGAGGAAACACGUUAAAGAUCAGUUAGGAAUGAUCAGAAGUCACUUGACCUUUUGAGGGACAUUGAUAAUAUCCUUAUAGCCUAGGAGGAAAAGAGCCACUAUUGUACGACGAAGCACAGCAGGAAAAUUUUAUGGCUGGAGUCGUGUUAUGACUUCCUGAGGUUAGAGGAGGACAAAUAUUGAUUACAAAAUACAAGCUGUAAGUUGGGAAUGCAUCUUCAUAGGGAUCAUGCCAUAACAACUUCCUGUAAUACCGAUUCUGUUUGUGCAUCCAUUUCCAGAAAGUAGUCUCACACUGAACAAGGCAUACAUCGUGCUAGGAAUGUCAACUGGAUUCUGAAUGGUCCAUGUUAGGGGUGCUCUGGGACAGUUUUGAACUCAUUGGCAGGCUUGGACUCGAUGAUCCAUUUCAACUCCACAUCUGUCAUUUUAUUAUAUUAACUACAGAAAUACUCUGAGAAACUGUAGUUCUGCUCUAAUUUUUGUUGAGGUGUGGGUGAUUCUGAUCACUGUAGUUCUCUCCUUUUUUUCCCUCCAAGAAAUCUGUAUAUCUCAGCCAGUUCACUAUUACUAGCCAAAGAAUCCCGCUUGACUCUCAACACCUGGUACUCCAACAAAGUUGCUUUGGAAAGGACUGCUAUAGCUGUGGGGAAGGAGUCUGAGUCUGGUGUGUGCGUGUGCGUGUGCAUUUGUGUGCUUGUGUGUGUAUGCAUGCAUGUGUGUACAGAUCUGGCUCUUACCUGAUUGACUAUAGCUACCAUUUUGCAGUAAUACAAAUAAUAGGUCUUUACAGAAAUACUGGCUGAGUUGAAUGAAGAGUGAUUCUUGGGUUCUCUGGGUGUUUCUGAUCAAGGAGAUUCCACUUGAUUGUGUAGCCGUUUGUUUUUCUUACAAAAAUCAGUGACAGUGCACCAUGUCUGAUAUGUCAAUCAGCUUUAAUGAAGGAACCAACUGCAUAUGCAUGGAGUGUGAAUUUCCUUGUUUCUGGAGUCAGGAUGUCAAGCUCAUUCAAUAGCUGACAGCUGUAAUUAGAGCAAAGAACGAUUCUAGCAUAAAACGCACUGACGGGAGAACCCAACUGCUGAAAAAGAAAUAAGAAGUAGCCAAACUGACUUCCAACCAACAGUCAAGUUUGACUCUGUGCACAGAAAAUCAAUGAGGAGAACUUGAGCCAUUUCCCCUUUAUCAAUUUUUCACUUCUAAUUAUUCCUUGGAGGUAGCUCGGUUUAAUUUUCAUGCCUUUUUUGGACCUGUAAUGAAUAUCCAGAGCUGUGCUAUAUAAAGUGUCUUUGCAAUGUCUUACAUGUUUCCUACUCCAUCCCCAAUAUAUGUGAAUUCCCCUUUUACCCUCUCCUCUUUCUCCCAUCCCCUCGGCCUUUCUUUUUGACUCACAAUAAGUGCUAAAUAACUUUGAACGUAAGUGAAAAUAUUAGUGAAUAAUAGUUUUUGCAAGUACUCUGACUUAACCCCAAAAGUGAUACAUGCAGAGACCAAGUCCACUAUUUUUCACAUAUGAUUUUGUUAGAAGGAGAUGAUUUUCUUCUGGGAGUCUCUCUUGCUGUUUGAUACUUUGCUACUGCUCUCUGGUUAGCUUGAAGAAAUCCAGAUAACUUAAUGAUCUUGAGUUUUUUUUUUGGUAUUUUCUAUACCAACCCAUAUAGCUAUCUUUGGCAUUCUUGGCAGUUGGCAAAUAUUAUGAACUGGGCUGUAGAAUAAAUUUUGUGCCCAUUUUCUCAUAAGGUAAGGCAUUGUUUGUCACUUACCAGAACUUCUCCUGGUAUUCUACUGGUUUCCCUCCAGAAAAUAGACACUACAUUCUUCUAACAUGUUCACAGGCCAGGCAUGGUGGCUUUCAUCUGUAACCCCAGUGUUUUGGGAGCUGAGGCAGGAGGAUUGCUUAAGGCCGGUAGUUUGAGAACAGCCUGGGCAACAAAGCAAGACAUAAUUUCUACUAAAAAUCAAAAAAAAAAAAAAAAAAAGGCUGGGCGUGGUGGUAUAUGCCUGUAUUCCCAGCUACUUGGGAGGCUGAGGCAAGAGGAUCACUUGAGGCUGGGAGUUUGAGGUUGCAGUGAGCCACAGUUACACCACUCUCACUAGCCUGGGUGACAGAGUGAGACUUGUCUCAAAUAAAAAAAGUACAAUAAAAUAAUAAAAUAAAAUACUCCUUAAUACUAGGGCAUAAUUAGAAGAUACCAGUAAUAUCAAUAAGUAUUUCCUAAAACUGACCCAAUGUCAUAGAAUUGCAGUAUUAUAGAUUUUAAGUUUCAGAAAAUCAAUCAUUUUCUUCUUCUUAGGACAAAGGCACCCUCUGGGGUGACUCCUUUCAAGACCUAAGUGUAAUAGAAGUAUUUGCUUUCCAUAAGGGAAUCCUUCCUGUUGAAAUUAAGUGUUUUCCUAGAGCACAGGAUUUGGAGUUGUAUGCAUGUGGGGUUGACAUUUCUAGGCAUAUUUCCUUCAAUAAAAAAAACAGCAUCAGCUUCUUCAUUUAUAAAGUAAGAAAGAUAGUAUCUACCUUAGAAGGUUGAGAUGCGAGGUUUAAAUAUUAUGUGGGUGAAAUGUCUGGCUCAUACCAGGUGACCAGUGUGGAUCAUUUAACCAUGUUUCUUUCUUCUGUCUUUUCUUUGGUCCAUCUUUCCUCCUUCCCUGCAUUCCUUCCCUCCUCUCUCCCUCCUUCUCAUCUUUUCUCUAACCUUUCCUCCCCAUUUCCUUCCCCCAUUUCCAUCUUGUCUCCCUUCUUCACUAUCCUCUCCUCAACCUCUCUUCCUUCUUACCCUCCCUAGGAAAAAUUUCUGUAAUUCAUAUUGUUGACGUUGUCACUAAAGAACAUCUUUCCCUUUCUCUUUGUAGACAACCUGUUAUUAAUUUAGAACUUUCAUCUGUUUCAUCUACCUCUAAUCCCAUUUUAACAUAAUUCCCAUUUUUAUACUUCUAGCUCCAGCAAGCAGUUCCCAUCUUGGUGUACUGCACAUCAUAGGUAUUCUCAGUAUCUUAUGGUUGAGGGUAAACCGUAAAUAUUUCCUGGUCGAUUAACUUUGUUCAAAGAAGAAGAAAGGAAGGCCUGAGGGGAGCAAUAAAAUGUCAUGCUCUUUAUGUACCUCUCCUUUUCUCAGAUAAUCCAGUCUUGAGGUCUCUGAUCUAUUUAGUUUCAAAAUUACUUUGGGAAGUAUAACACAUAAAAAAGUAAGGUGCACAAAACAAAUGUACAGGGGGUGAGUUACCAUGAAGUGAACACCUAAGCCCCCAAACCAGGUUAAAAUAAAUAGAACACUGUUCACACCCAAGAAACUUCUACUUGGCCAGUCCCAAUCAUUAUUCCCACUCUGCCUGCAAAUUUAGUUGUCUGACUUCUAACAGUAUAAUUUAGUUUGCUUCAUUUAAAAUUACAUAAAUGGAAUUACCUCGUAGGUAAUCUUUUGUUUUGGGCACAAUUUUACUCAGCAUUGUGUGUAUGAUAGCCAUCUAUGUUGUGUGCAGUUGUGGUUUCUUCAUUUUUAUUGCUGUGUAGUGCUCACUUUUAGAAAACACUACAUUUAUUUAUACUUUUACUGCUGAGAGAUAUUUUCGUUGUUUCUAGGUUUUGACUAUUAUGAAUAAUGCUGCCAAAGCAUUCUUUGACAUGUCAUUUGGUGCACAUAGGCAUGCGUUUGUUUCAGGUAUAUAUAUAUGUAUAUAUAUAUGCAGGAGUGGAAUUGCUGAGUCAUAGAGUAUGAUCCAUUAUCACACACUGUCAAACUGUUUUCCACUGUGGUUGUGCCAGUGUGCCAGUGUACCUCACACUGUAGUGCAAGAUAAUUUCUUUUGGUCUACAGCCUUGCCAGUAAUUAAUAUUGUCAUGCUUUUAGAUUUUAGCCAUUUUGGUACAUGUAAAGUAGUGUCUUAUGUGGUUUUAAUUUGCAUCUCCUUGAUUACGGAUAAGACUGAUCACUUUUUCCCCCACAUAAUUAUUGACUUAUAUUUUUUGGAUUUUGUGUGUAUGUGUGUGCGCGUGCAUGUGUGUGUGCCCUGUGGUACAAGAUUUUUGAUGAUUAUAUGUAUAUGUCUACGUUUACAUAAAUACCUACAGCUACACCUAUAUCUAUCUAUUACAAAUCUGUUCUACUCUGUGGCUUACAUUUUAUUCUCUUAAUUGUGUCUCUCAAUUGUGCAUACCUAUAUGGAUGCUUGGUGUGUAGCAAAAGUGGCGCUGCAGUCCAGUGGGGGAAACGUGUUUUUUUCAAUAUAUGACACUGUGUCAGUAUGAUAUCCAUGAGAAAAUAAAUGAAACAUCUUCAUUACCUUGGGCUAGGGAAAGCUUUCUUAAACAAGAUACCAAAGUACUAAUCCCAUAAAAGAAUUAAUUACUGGACUAUAUAAUAAUUAAGAAAUUAGAGGUGUCUUUGUCCUAAUAAGAAUAAAAUGAUUGAUUUUCUGAAACUUUAUAAUACUGCAAUUCUAUGACUUUGGGUCAGUUAUGGGAAAUACUUAUUGAUAUCACUGGCACCCUCUAAUUAUGCCCUAAAAAUUACCCAAUCUUAGGUAUUCCUUUAUAGCAACACAAACCAGACUAAUACAGGGACCUUAUUCUCUGAGCAGAGGGGCAUUGGUUUCAAGAGUGUGUGGCAAACUUCACUGUUUUUUUCUGUGUUCUCUUACCACUGGACCUCGACACAGAUACAAUUACAGAAUGUGGCAAAGUUGGGUAAAGUCUCAGCAUUCUGGCCUGAGGAUUAACAAGAAAAGCCCCAGAGAAUUUGAAACUAUCAGGGGAUUCACAGUGAGGGAAUUGCUCAGGAAGGCAACCCCAUGAAGUUGUUUUUGGACUCCCAGACUUACCCCUGACUGAGCAUAUGUGUUUCUGAUCCCAGACAAUAUAUCAAAGACUUUGAGAAUAGAACUGUGGUAUAGACCACUGUGCAAGUCCGAGACUGCUGACUGGGUAGAAUAAACAUGGGUCAGAUCCAAUAUUUCUUCAAAUUCUUGGAAAGUGGAACCUACACUGAAACCAUAAGCCACAGAAGGCUGGUCAGAGCUUGGAGCCAGAACCAAAUUGGAUUGAUUUCUGGCAAAAACAAAAAUACCAACAUUCUUUAUGGGAUUUAAAUAAAACUCAGCAUUUCAUUACCUAAUAUUCAAAGUGUUCAGUAUACAACCCC